rnacentral:rRNA from 1 species
UACAGAGGGUGCGAGCGUUGUCCGGAAUCACUGGGCGUAAAGGGCGCGUAGGCGGCCCGGUAAGGUUGCGGUGAAAGCCCGGGGCUCAACCCUGAAUCGGCCGUCGAUACUCCCGGGCUUGAGCACUGUAGAGGCAGAUGGAAUUCCGGGUGUAGCGGUGGAAUGCGUAGAGAUCCGGAAGAACACCGGUGGCGAAGGCGGUCUGCUGGGCAGUAGCUGACACUGAGGCGCGACAGCGUGGGGAGCAAACAGG